rnacentral:misc_RNA from 1 species
UUAAGUUCAGCGGGUAGUCCUACCUGAUUUGAGGUCAAGUGGUCAAAUAAGUUGUCCGCGCUGGCAGACGGCUGUAAGCUGGGUGAAUGUGACCGCGCCGAGUGUAGAUAACUAUCACACAAGGCUGCAGAUCGCACAAGAUGAGCCCCUGCUAAUGCUUUUCAGAGGAGCCGGGUCCCGGAGAGGGCCAGCAGAACCUC